AUGUGGGGAAAAAAGAUCCCAAGUCUCGUUGAAAUAUUUACGGUUUCCGUGUUGAAUUGUGGUCAAUACAAAUCCUGGACCUCAAGUCUUGUUGGAAGUCUAUGUUUCUGUGGAAAAAUGAGGCAGUGGGUGCAGCUUGUGGAAUUCAAAACAUGUAGAACGAUGGAUUCACCUUUUUGUAAUUCACCUUUUUGUAAUCAGUCAAACGAUGGAUUACAAAACUUGAGAAAUAUAUUCAGGCACAUGCCGGAUCUCUUUUCCUUUCAAUUUUCAAAGCUCCCAUACGGUGAAGCAAUUGGUGACCUUGCAUUGUAG
rnacentral:rRNA from 1 species